rnacentral:rRNA from 1 species
GGAGUCUGGACCGUGUCUCAGUUCCAGUGUGGGGGACCUUCCUCUCAGAACCCCUAUCCAUCGUCGCCUUGGUGGGCCGUUACCCCGCCAACUAGCUAAUGGAACGCAUCCCCAUCCCUUACCGAAAAAUCUUUGGUCAAGUGAAAAGGCUAUCGCUUGACAACAUCGGGGAUUAAUCCUACUUUCGCAGGGCUAUACCCGAGUAAGGGCCAGGUUGGAUACGCGUUACGCACCCGUGCGCCGGUCGUCAUCAGCAGGAGCAAGCUCCCGCCAUGUUACCCCUCGACUUGCAUGUGUUAAGCCUGUAGCUAGCGUUCAUC